GGCUCAGGAUGAACGCUGGCGGCGUGCCUAAUACAUGCAAGUCGAACGAGUUCUGAUUAUUGAAAGGUGCUUGCAUCUUGAUUUUAAUUUUGAACGAGUGGCGGACGGGUGAGUAACACGUGGGUAACCUGCCCUUAAGUGGGGGAUAACAUUUGGAAACAGAUGCUAAUACCGCAUAAAUCCAAGAACCGCAUGGUUCUUGGCUGAAAGAUGGCGUAAGCUAUCGCUUUUGGAUGGACCCGCGGCGUAUUAGCUAGUUGGUGAGGUAACGGCUCACCAAGGCAAUGAUACGUAGCCGAACUGAGAGGUUGAUCGGCCACAUUGGGACUGAGACACGGCCCAAACUCCUACGGGAGGCAGCAGUAGGGAAUCUUCCACAAUGGACGCAAGUCUGAUGGAGCAACGCCGCGUGAGUGAAGAAGGCUUUCGGGUCGUAAAACUCUGUUGUUGGAGAAGAAUGGUCGGCAGAGUAACUGUUGUCGGCGUGACGGUAUCCAACCAGAAAGCCACGGCUAACUACGUGCCAGCAGCCGCGGUAAUACGUAGGUGGCAAGCGUUAUCCGGAUUUAUUGGGCGUAAAGCGAGCGCAGGCGGUUUUUUAAGUCUGAUGUGAAAGCCCUCGGCUUAACCGAGGAAGUGCAUCGGAAACUGGGAAACUUGAGUGCAGAAGAGGACAGUGGAACUCCAUGUGUAGCGGUGAAAUGCGUAGAUAUAUGGAAGAACACCAGUGGCGAAGGCGGCUGUCUGGUCUGUAACUGACGCUGAGGCUCGAAAGCAUGGGUAGCGAACAGGAUUAGAUACCCUGGUAGUCCAUGCCGUAAACGAUGAAUGCUAGGUGUUGGAGGGUUUCCGCCCUUCAGUGCCGCAGCUAACGCAUUAAGCAUUCCGCCUGGGGAGUACGACCGCAAGGUUGAAACUCAAAGGAAUUGACGGGGGCCCGCACAAGCGGUGGAGCAUGUGGUUUAAUUCGAAGCAACGCGAAGAACCUUACCAGGUCUUGACAUCUUUUGAUCACCUGAGAGAUCAGGUUUCCCCUUCGGGGGCAAAAUGACAGGUGGUGCAUGGUUGUCGUCAGCUCGUGUCGUGAGAUGUUGGGUUAAGUCCCGCAACGAGCGCAACCCUUAUGACUAGUUGCCAGCAUUUAGUUGGGCACUCUAGUAAGACUGCCGGUGACAAACCGGAGGAAGGUGGGGAUGACGUCAAAUCAUCAUGCCCCUUAUGACCUGGGCUACACACGUGCUACAAUGGAUGGUACAACGAGUUGCGAGACCGCGAGGUCAAGCUAAUCUCUUAAAGCCAUUCUCAGUUCGGACUGUAGGCUGCAACUCGCCUACACGAAGUCGGAAUCGCUAGUAAUCGCGGAUCAGCACGCCGCGGUGAAUACGUUCCCGGGCCUUGUACACACCGCCCGUCACACCAUGAGAGUUUGUAACACCCGAAGCCGGUGGCGUAACCCUUUUAGGGAGCGAGCCGUCUAAGGUGGGACAAAUGAUU
rnacentral:rRNA from 1 species